CCUACGGGAGGCAGCAGUGAGGAAUAUUGGUCAAUGGGCGGGAGCCUGAACCAGCCAAGCCGCGUGAGGGAAGAAGGUACAGCGUAUUGUAAACCUCUUUUGUCAGGGAACAAAGGCGGGGACGAGUCCCCGGAGGAGGGUAUCUGAAGAAAAAGCAUCGGCUAACUCCGUGCCAGCAGCCGCGGUAAUACGGAGGAUGCGAGCGUUAUCCGGAUUUAUUGGGUUUAAAGGGUGCGCAGGCGGCAUGUUAAGUCAGCGGUAAAAGCCCGGGGCUAAACCCCUGCGAGCCGUUGAAACUGGCGGGCUGGAGUUGGAGAGAAGUACGCGGAAUGCGCGGUGUAGCGGUGAAAUGCUUAGAUAUCGCGCAGAACCCCGAUUGCGAAGGCAGCGUACCGGCUCCACACUGACGCUGAUGCACGAAAGCGUGGGUAUCGAACAGGAUUAGAUACCCUUGUAGUC
rnacentral:rRNA from 1 species